ACAGCACGGCUCUCGUGGAUAAACUGGGAGAACUUGGGUGUGAAUCCUAAUAGGCGAUCGGUAUUGACGACGCUCGCCCUGACGACGGACAAUAUGAAUUGAAGCUGAAAAAACGGGGACGAUGAAAAUCGCAGGAUUCUCCUUUUCAUUUUCUAGUCUGGACGUGCAAUACGAGCGGAUAUCACGUUACGUUUCGUACAUCUACGUAUAAGUAUUCGUGUACAUCGGGAGCAUAUAGCUGAUCUAGUUUUAGUAUUUUGUUUGGAAUAAAAUCAGGAGGCUACAUCUCUCGAGUUUCAUUCGAGAACCCACAGCAUUUCCUAAUUCAAUUCUACUUGAUGUCCUAAAAUUAUUGGAAAUCGGUUAAUAAAUGAAGAUCUGUUUAA